rnacentral:misc_RNA from 1 species
CGGAAGAGAUUUGGGAGUGCCUGCAAGAGAAACUGAACAUUAAAAGCGUAUGGCUGUCGUCAGCUCGUGUCGUGAGAUGUUGGGUUAAGUCCCGCAACGAGCGCAACCCUUGUCAUUAGUUGCUACGAAAGGGCACUCUAAUGAGACUGCCGGUGACAAACCGGAGGAAGGUGGGGGAUGACGUCAAGUCCUCAUGGCCCUUAUGGGUAGGGUCAUUAAUGUCAUACAAUGGUCGGGACAGAGGGUCGCCAACCCGCGAGGGGAGCCAACUCUAGAAACCUGAUCAGUCCGGAUCGCAGUCUGCAACCUGACUGCGUGAAGUCGGAAUCGCUAGUAAUCGCGGAUCAGCAUGUCGCGGUGAAUACGUUCCCGGGUCUUGUACACACCGCCUCAGUCACACCAUGGGAGUGGUUUUACCAGAAAGUAGUUAGCCUAACCGUAAGGAGGGCGAUUACCACGGUAGGAUUCAUGACUGGGGUGAAGUCGUAACAAGGUAA